rnacentral:rRNA from 1 species
UACGUAGGGUCCGAGCGUUGUCCGGAAUUAUUGGGCGUAAAAGAGCUCGUAGGCGGUUUGUCACGUCUGCUGUGAAAACUGGAGGCUCAACCUCCAGCCUGCAGUGGGUACGGGCAGACUAGAGUACGGGAGAGGCGAGUGGAAUUCCUGGUGUAGCGGUGAAAUGCGCAGAUAUCAGGAGGAACACCGAUUGCGAAGGCAGCUCGCUGGAACGUUACUGACGCUGGAGAACGCGAAAGCGUGGGGAGCAAACAGG